rnacentral:rRNA from 1 species
AUGUUUUGGCAUGAUAGUUGGGGUCCUGUUCCUCUAAAGCUGCAAUUCCCUCAUCUGUUUUCCUUCGCAAAGGAUGAAUUGCUAUCCAUCCAAGAGGCCUCUCACUUCAGCUCCUUCCAAGAUCUUUUUCACCUGCCUCUUUUCAAUCUAGCCUUUGCACAGUUUCAUCAAGCACAAGCAUGUUUAGAGCAAGCUAAUCUUCGAGGACAUGCUGAUCAAUGGAAAUACAUUUGGAACUCGGCCACAUUUUCCCCUUCAAAAGCCUAUAAUUUUCUCAUCAAAGGGGAGGAGGCACAUUCUAUUUUCAAGAAGAUUUGGGCUACUGCUGUUAUGUUAAGAUAUAAAAUCUUCUUCUGGUUGCUACUGCAUGAUCGAGUAAACACAAGAGGUCUUUUACACAGAAAAUCUUUCCACCUCCCAUCUUAUAUGUGUGAGCUCUGUUCUGAUCAAGUUGAAGAAACUGCUAUGCACUUGUUUUGGGACUGCCCCUUUCCAUGUUCUGAUCAAGUUGAAGAUGCUGGGACAUGUUUUUCCCACACAAACAUAGAGACACAAGUGUUAUUUCUGAGAUUCUUUUAG